AUCAACGCGUAUGAACAUUUGAACUGUUCAUGUUCCUCUGUUGCUUGCAUUUUUCCGAUGCAUGCUUAAAUAUAUUUAAAAAUAGUCCGACCAGUUGUUGGGAUUCACGGGAAGGCGGGAGCAGUGGGCCCCAAAACAUUUUGGGCUUGGGGAUGGGCCUUUCCCUGCUGCCCAGCGCAAUCGGCGGGCACCACGCGCGCGCAAUAAAGCAACUCCUCCUGCCGCGACGCCCUUCUCCUCCACCGCUCCCUGCCCCGUGGCUCCGCUUCGUUCGUCGCCGCAUCGCCGAGGGAGAGGGCAAGCCCAGAAGACGCCUCCGUCGCCGCUCUACCUGAGGUCGGACAAUCAGGCCCCGCUACCGCUCCUAGGUCGCGACCCCUCUCCGGUUCUCCGCCCCGACCGCGCCCUUGGCUUCCACCGCCAUCACCGCCUCCACGGCCAUCACCACUGCCUCGCCCACCGGCGUCACGGCCCCGCCCUUGGCCCCCACCGACACGUACACGGCCUACUUCGUGGCCGCCGUCCUCCGCCGUUGCGCACGCUGAGCCGGAGGUUGGAGAUCUGCCUCGUCGAGCUGGAGACGGAGGUCAGCCUCCGCCUACGAAUCAUCAUCAUCAGCCAACAGCAUUUCGUUGGCACUUAAAGUUCAAGAUAGCCUGCUGUAGGCCAUCGGCCGUACAGAUGAUUGAUGAUGAGGCCAACUUUGGUAAUAUCCUUGAUGCCUCAGAAGAAGUUCAGGUUACUGCAAAGUUCCGUCCCAAGGAACGACCCAAACCCCGAAAAACAGCUCUAUCAUCCAGAUCUGCAGCGCCUAAUCCUACUGAAGAAACUGGAGAUAGGAAAGUAGGAACCUUCAAUCAAGUCAAUUCUUCUAAAGAGCUCACUUGCCAAGAAAGGACAUCCUUGAUGUGCCCUAGUACUGAGUCAGUUGAUAUUAUCGCUGGUUCUCAAGGUAUUCUCGAUACACCAUUGGAAGAUGCAUUGGCAGUUCCCCAGGGUUCUCUGCCUGGUGCUUCUGCUGCAGGUAGGACUUCUCAAUAUGGUGAACACAAUGAUGAUCCUUCUAAGUUAGCUACACACCAAGAAAACUUGGUGGUUUCAGAUAUCAACGUCCCACCUAACAGUUCAUGUGGCAAGGCUAUUGAUGAUAUAGUUGAAUUUGAGGACAUGUGUGAUGUCCAAAUUGAAGAGGAAAGAGUUACAAAGUUCCAACCAAAGGCGCAAACGAAGCUCCUUAAGGAAAUAGCCAAAUCUCGGAAGACUAACCAAAAGGUGGAAACUUCCACUGUAGAUGUGGUUACACAAAAUGGAAAGGGCAAUAAUAUUCAGACAAGGCUCCAUGGCAAUCAGGUACAGGAUCCUAAAAGUCAUGAAAGUGUGCAGAUCCCAGAUUCUGAAGAAUUAUUAGCAACUGAUAAUAGUAAAGGUUGCAAUUUAGCUAAACUCAACAAUGUCCUUGAGGAGUCAGUCCAAGAGGAAACAAUAGCUAAGUUUCGUUCUGAUUUGCAACCAAAGCCCAGGAAGGCUUCAUCCCAUGUUGCUGCGAUUAAAAUUAAUGUUGCUGCUGUUGCUCCAAUAGUUGGAGUUUGUGACAGCAACAAUGACAUGUACAGAGAACCUAAAGAUCAAGAAACCAUCACCGGUCCAGUGGUUUGGUCACCACAGGCUGUGCAUGCUGAUGUUGAUUUAGACAAUCACAAUGAACCAAUUAAUCCUCCUAUCGAUGGUACUCAAUCAAUGAUUGGCGAAGUCCCAAGUACAGCUUUUACAGGAAGAGAAAAGGGAAAAUCAAAAUCUGUAUCUUUUGCUCUAUCGGAUGCUUCUGGGGUAGCUACCCCUAUAGAUACCAAUUCUGAGAUGGGUAACAUCGGCGAUUCCUGUAGUGACAAAUUGACUGAUGAAAAUUUAAGUAACUCAUCUCGGCAUAUCGCUGAAAAGCAUUCUAUUACCAAGGACCAAUAUUCAAAUGGUCAGGACCAUGAGCGGGAGCCACUAGAUCAUGCUGUUCAACAGCAACCAAAAUCGGAUGUUGGAGAAAGAGCAUCAUCAAUGAAACGACGCUGCAGGAAAAAGGUGCAAAAAGUUGGGACACCUAAUCACACUGUUGAUGAUUAUUUUGGUGAAGACUGUGUUGAACCUUCAUUAGCUGAAGAAGAUAACAAUACUGGUGAUGAUUACACUACUGGUAAUAACCAUAAGGCUAGGAAAAAGUCAAGGGGUGGUGUAGAAGAGUCACAGCAGCAGAAAGUUCAAAAAAAUAAAAGCAAGGUGUCUUCACGGGGCCGCAAAAGAACCUUGAAGGAUGAAACGGCAGAGAAGCCUGAGAAGAAGCUAACCCACAGGAUACGUCAGAGGAUAACAAAAGAGGUUAAGGCUUUACUGGAAACACCUCGUGAGCAGAUAAAACCCAUGAAGCUAAGCGCAUCACAUCUCAGGUUGUUACAAGAAGCUAGAGAGCGUGUUAAUCCAAAAGGGAUUCCAUCCGGGCCAUCUUCUAAUACAAGAAACUUUCAACUAGAUGAUAUGGAUGAUUUGGGCUACAGAGAUGAGGAAGAUAGGUUCUUUGACAACGAUACAACAGAGGAGCAUGUACAAAAUGCAACAAAAUUGAACUACCAUUCCUACAUGAACAAACCAGCCCGGGGAAGAUGGUCAAAAUCAGAUACCGACUUGUUUUACGAGGGUCUUCGACAAAUUGGUAGUGAUUUUGCAAUGAUACAACAAUUAUUCCCUGAUAAGACUCGCCAUCAGGUGCGGCAGAAAUUUAAAUCUGAGGAGAGAAAAAAUCCAUUGCUAGUCCAUGAUGCUAUAACUCAUCGCUCAGGAGAUAAUUUGUAUUUCAAAAAGGUAAUUAAGCAGCUCAACAUUGAAGAUGUUGUGCUGCCAGAUAUUAAAAGUACACAAAAACAAGAUGGUGCAUCAAGUGAAAGAGGCCCUGGAAAUGAGAAUGUACUGGAUGAUUUAUACGGGGAGGAAAAUAGUUCAAAUUGGUUGAACGAAGAGCAUGACGUACAGAUGGCUGAUGUGGAAGAAGAGCAUGGCGAACAGAUGGAUGAUGUGGAUCUCGGAAAUGAUGGUGGUGAUGAUGAUCUUGGGGAUGUUUUUGAUUGGUACUAGUUUGAUCAUGGCUGGAUGAUGUGGAAGAAGAGCAUGAUCUUGGAAAUGAUGGUGGUGAUGAUGAUCUUGGGGAUGUUUUUGCUUGGUACUAGUUUGAUCAUGGCUGGGAUUAGGACUCACGAUAUUAUGAUUAUGAUUCUGCUAAUGUUUUGAGGUACCUGACUUGCUGACUGUUGAGUUGAUUGCUAACUAGAGGAAGUGACAGUCGACGAUGCCCAAUUGUAUCAGCAUAUUCUUGGUGAUUAGCAUCAGUACCAGUGGUUGUGACAGAUAUGUCCUGCUGGAUGCCGAGUUUUGCAAGCCGAUGGAAGGUGUCUGUAACGAGUUAUAGAAUUUGUAUUUUUUUAUUACCUUGCACACGAAUAUAGUGUUGAUGGAUGGUAGAUACGUCACGUUUACCUUUAUUUAUAGCUACUUUAUCUUAGUUGUUGUUGCUCUCAUGCUCUGUGACUUUAAAAGCAGUAUCGGUUUCCGUAGAGCCUCAGUUGGCAUCUUUUUUUUUUCCUGGUAGCCUUCCUGGAGAAAGAAUGCAAGAUUGAAUGGUGUCUAUGCUCUUU